rnacentral:rRNA from 1 species
CACGUAGGGCGCAAGCGUUGUCCGGAAUUAUUGGGCGUAAAGAGCUCGUAGGCGGACUGUCACGUCUGCUGUGAAAAGCUAGGGCUUAACCCUGGCCUUGCAGUGGAUACGGGCAGACUAGAGGUAGGUAGGGGAGAAUGGAAUUCCCGGUGUAGCGGUGAAAUGCGCAGAUAUCGGGAGGAACACCGGUGGCGAAGGCGGCUUCCUGGACCGACACUGACGCUGAGGCGCGAAAGCUAGGGGAGCAAACGGG